AGUGAACGCUGGCGGUAGGCCUAACACAUGCAAGUCGAACGGCAGCACAGGAGAGCUUGCUCUCUGGGUGGCGAGUGGCGGACGGGUGAGGAAUACAUCGGAAUCUACUCUGUCGUGGGGGAUAACGUAGGGAAACUUACGCUAAUACCGCAUACGACCUACGGGUGAAAGCAGGGGACCUUCGGGCCUUGCGCGAUUGAAUGAGCCGAUGUCGGAUUAGCUAGUUGGCGGGGUAAAGGCCCACCAAGGCGACGAUCCGUAGCUGGUCUGAGAGGCUGAUCAGCCACACUGGAAAUGAGACACGGUCCAGACUCCUACGGGAGGCAGCAGUGGGGAAUAUUGGACGAGGGGCGCAAGCCUGAUCCAGCCAGACCGCGUGGGUGAAGAAGGCCUUCGGGUUGUAAAGCCCUUUUGUUGGGAAAGAAAUCCAGCUGGCUAAUACCCGGUUGGGAUGACGGUACCCAAAGAAUAAGCACCGGCUAACUUCGUGCCAGCCGCCGCCGUAA
rnacentral:rRNA from 1 species